CAGAGACUCCCAGCUUUGGACAAUUUCUAUGUACGUUCGGGAUUUUCAAAUAAGUGAUGCCAGCAGGUCGACUUUCAGUCCAGCUGUGACUGAAGAAUGAUUCAAAUACUAUUCCCAGUCAUAGCGAUCACCAUUGCAGCCAUACUCUUCUGCUUUUACUAUCAAGUGAAAAGGAGGAGGACACAGGGUGAUGCCACAGCAACAAUGCAAGUCCAAGCA